rnacentral:lncRNA from 1 species
ACAAAAUCGGGCUGCCUGAGCUAGCAGUAGCAACCGGUUGGGGUGCCCUUCUGCAUUGUGAAGGCUUUGUUCUUUGGCUCUUUGCGAUAAAUCUUGCUGCUGCUCACUUUUUGGGUCCACGCUGCCUUUAUGAGCUGUAACACUCUCUGUGAAGGUCUGUAGCUUCACUCCUGAAGCCAGAGAGACCACGGGAAGGAACGAACAACUCCAGACGCCCCGCCUUAAAAGCUGUAACACUCACCGCGAAGGUCUGCAGCUUCACUCCUGAGCCAGUGAGACCACGAACCUACCAGAAGGAAGAAACUCCAAACACAUCUGAACAUCAGAAGGAACAAACUCCGGACACGCCGCCUUUAAGAACUCUAACACUCACCGCUAGGAUCCGCGGCUUCAUUCUUGAAGUCAGACUGCCCUUUUCCAUGAUUUUAUCCACUUCUUCCACUCCGCCUGAAACCUGUCUGCCUGAGCCCUGCCGAGACCCAGGCCCAGUUUUCUGUCUCGGAUUACUUCAGAGUUUGGCUUGGGCCUUUUCUUCAGGAAUCAUGCUGUGACUCGCUUAGGAUGGUGAUAGGAGUAAAACGAAAGGCACUGUCAGAACAGAGAAAUGGAGAGAUUUAUUUAGGAGAAGAAAUCUCAGUCUCUGUAUCAUCUGCUGGGUGAAGCAACUUUCCAUCUGAGAGAAAGGAGUGCCCACACCCUGUCUACCCACGUCCAGGCCAGCUUAAAAGUCUAACAGGACUUAUGUGCGCAAAACCCUUUCCUGAAUAAUUGUGACAAAGUAAUCUUUUGAAAAAGAGAGAGUUGAAAAAAGAAUCUUCAAAAGGGGACAGUGAUCAUGAAGGCGCUGGAAGGAGAAGGAGACUCUAUGUCAGUCAGGAAAUCUGCAGGCUAGUGGUUCUCAAUGAGAAGAGAUUUUGCCUCCCAGGGACAUUUGGCAACGUCUGAAGGUAUUUUUGUUCGUUCGUUUCAACUGGAGCAGUGCUCCUGCCAGCUAGUGGAAACCCACGGAUGCCAGUAAACAUCCUACCACACACAGGUCAGCCUCUCAAAAUUAUCCAGCCCAAAAUAUCAAUAGAGACAAGGUUGAGAAAUCCUGUUCUAUGCCCACUCACCUUAUGAAAACACAUUUAGCAGGAGUAAGCAAAUACCUUUCCAUAUUAAGUUUCUGUUCAUUGCUUUGAUUACUUCUCCAUCACUGAAAGUACAAAUCAGGCAUCUAUAAUGUCCCCAUUUUACAUACACACUAGAAAACAUAGUGAAUAUCUUAUCUGUAUUAGCAUAUUUGUUAUUUUCAAAAACAGAAUAAAAAUAUGGUUCAAAAGAAUAUUUAAGAAGAUGAGUUCCACAGUCCAUCUGGGUUCAAUUUAAACACAUUGAACCUCAGUCCUCCUAUUUACUAACUGUGUAAUA